GUGGUCUGGGGAAAGGCUGCUGUGUGGUUGAACCUGCUUGGUUGUAGGUGCAGCCUUGUACCAGAUAGCCCGACCCUGACCUAAAGUAAAUCCCCAGGAGAAGCCUUUCCUGGGUUUUGAAUUUGCAGUAACAGGUGUGAGCAUUCUAGCAGCAGUUUGAUGAUCAUGUAUGAUACUGCAAACAGGA
ensembl:snoRNA